CGAGGAAGUAGGUGAGCUUCUCCAUCCCUGUCUGUCUAGAUGCAGAGAACCCAAAGCCCUGCAGGAUGGCAAAGCUGCAACAUGGAAGUCACCCGGAUCACCACGUAAAGGAAAUCUCUCCAACCAGGAACAAACACCUGCCUUGCAAUAUUAGGUCCUUCCUAGGGCUUGGUGCAUGUGCAUAUCUCCUUCCGGAAUCCUGGUCAAUACUAAGGUAAGAUGAAAAAACUGCGGGUUUGGGAUAAGCAGGAAAAAAGAAGCAAACUCUCUUAGUGGCGGAACUUACUGAAGUUAAGC
rnacentral:lncRNA from 1 species